AUGAAUAAAUUUGGUCGAGCUGUUGCUGGCCCUUCGGGGCAUGUGCACGCUUGCCACCAAUUUUAUAACCACCUGUGCACCUUUGUAGACUAGAAACAAUUCUCGAGGCAACUCGGAUUGAGAACUGCGGUGUUCAAAGCCAGCUGUUCUUGUGUUUCUCAGCCUAUGUUUUCAUAUACUCCAUUGUAUGUAUCAGAAUGUAUUGUUAGGCCUUUAGUGCCUUUAAAUCAAAUA
rnacentral:misc_RNA from 1 species